rnacentral:rRNA from 1 species
AGAGUUUGAUCCUGGCUCAGGAUGAACGCUGGCGGCGUGCCUAACACAUGCAAGUUGAGCGAUUUACUUCGGUAAAGAGCGGCGGACGGGUGAGUAACGCGUGGGUAACCUGCCCUGUACACACGGGUAACAUACCGAAAGGUAUGCUAAUACGAGAUAAUAUGCUUUUAUCGCAUGGUAGAAGUAUCAAAGCUUUUGCGGUACAGGAUGGACCCGCGUCUGAUUAGCUAGUUGGUAAGGUAACGGCUUACCAAGGCGACGAUCAGUAGCCGACCUGAGAGGGUGAUCGGCCACAUUGGAACUGAGACACGGUCCAAACUCCUACGGGAGGCAGCAGUGGGGAAUAUUGCACAAUGGGCGAAAGCCUGAUGCAGCAACGCCGCGUGAGCGAUGAAGGCCUUCGGGUCGUAAAGCUCUGUCCUCAAGGAAGAUAAUGACGGUACUUGAGGAGGAAGCCCCGG